rnacentral:tRNA from 4 species
CGGAGAGUAGCUCAGUUUGGUAGAGCGCACGGCUGGGGGCCGUGAGGUCGCAGGUUCAAGUCCUGUCUCUCCGA